AGGGCCUCUCCCCACCCUCCAUCACGUCCCAGCCCCUACAGAAGCUGCUGUUAUCAUGUUUAUGAGCCUCCACAACCACAGACAGGCAAAUUUGCAUAUAAAUAACCUGCCAGCACUGGAGGCUGUGAGAGGCACCUGGUAACGACUCUGUUUAUUACUCUGGAGAGAGAAAGGGAGCAAGAAGGCCUUGUGCGCUGGCUGGCCCAAGCGGGAUGGCUACAUUUCCACCCACCGAUUAGCUGAGAAAGGGUCAGUGACCCCCAAACAGCAGAGGAGGAAGAAACGUAAAGCCGUGCAGCUCCUCCUCUUUGGGAAACCCUGACCCUCGCAGCUAGAGACUGUAGAAGCCACCACAUCACCAAGGAUGGUCCAGCCUGAAAAUGAAUGCAGGGAGCCAGCAUCUGCUGGGAAAUGGAAGGGAACCUGGGAAGAACUUGCAAUAACUGGGAAGAAGCAGACAAAGUGCCACUCCUGCCUGAUGAUGCCAGCAGCCCUGCAGGGUCCUCCUUUAUCCACUCAGCCCCACACCAAGAAGAAUUUCAGAAGGCCAGUGGUGGCUCCAGACACACAGCUCGAGCCUGGAUUUAAUUUGUUUUGGUGAAAGGACCCUGGACUAAGAACAAGGACACGAAGAGGAUGGGGCAGCCCUGAGACAGGUUUCUCAUCCUCUCUCUGCUGGGCAGGACCUUCCAGAGGCAUCCAGGGCAGCUCUCCACCCCCAAUGCCAGAUGCAGUAUCAGGUGCACAGAGCACCAGAAUAGGAGUCCAGAGACCUCAGCUGUGGGCCCAGCUCCUCAGUUGGUGCUAUGUGACCUUGGUCAAUUCACUGGAUGACUGAGCCUAUUUUCUUCCUCUGUGAAAAUGAGUGUAGUGAAACGUGACUGCCUGCCAGAAACAGAUGAGGAGGGGUGUGAAAAUGCCUUGCCAAGUCCUUUGGAAAGAUCUCCUCCUCAACAGCUAAGGAGACUCAAUAAUGCACACUUCCUAAGUGCAGUAGAAGGACCUGUGAAUAACAAUCUCUUCUAUUGGAUUAACUCUUCCGCAUCUGCUGUGUGGAUCCCCUACCUCGCUGAUGUGCUUGGAAGGCAGGGGAGGCUGCAUGGUGAGGCCCUGCUGGAGCACAGGGAGAGGCCACUUGGCAGAGUGCAGCAUCACAGCCGUGGGCGCCUGAGACCCCACCCCACCAGUGCCUCCGUGGCUGUACCAUGUUCCCAUGCUUCAUCACGCUGUCUCUCAGGGUGGGACCAGGCAUGGUCUUAUUCACCAAGGCAGGAUUCUAAACUCCUGUUUAGAACCCUAUGACUGGCUGGACAGGGGGUGGGCACCUGAGCCAUGGGCAGCCAACUCACAGGCUGACCAGAGGCCUGAUAAAUGACUCAGUGCAGGAGGCAAUUCACUCAACUGCAGUUAUUUGAGCCAAUCAGGCUCUCUCUCAAUGGAAACAGGAAAUAAUAAAGCAGCUGGUGGGAGUGAGAGAAGUGAACGGAGACUCCCUGACAGCAGAUGAGUCCGGCUGGUGGCAGAGUCUGGAAGGAAGAGCCACAAACUCUGGCUGCUGUAAGACCUCAGAAAGCCAUGCCCUGAGAGCUCCACUGGAUCCUGACCUCCCCGCCUCACCCAGUCUCCCAGCCCGGGCCUCAUGAGGGCCUCCCCAUGCCGUAGCUCCUGAUCUAGAUGUUAUCGUGAAUAUCCUUGCAAUUAAUCUCCAUGUUCUGGCAGGCUCUGGAUACGCUGGGGAAACAGCACAGGGGUUCAUAAAUUUGCCUGAUUAAAAAUCACAUGGGCAAUUUGUUAAACCUGCAGACUCCAGGGUCCCGUUUCAGACCAUUGAAUCAGAAUGCCCAGGAUGGACUCCAAGAUGUGUACUUAACAAACACCCAGGGUGAGUCUUACGGCGAACUUGGGAGACACUGGUUUAUUGCCAUCCCCCUUAAUUCAUCCACAUGAGUGUGCUGAAUUCAAUGUACAAACACCAAGUUGCUUAAAAGGAGAAAAAAAAUACCAUUUUGGGAGCCAGCCAGGCAAAAAAAAAAAAAAAGGGAUGUUGCACAAAUUUCUCAUCUCCUUCAUCCUUUACCUGGCCCCCAGGCAGGCUUUUCUAACCGUUGGAGUAGUUUCCCUCUGGAUGGAUGUCACCAGGUGGAUAUGAUGUCAGUGCCUUCUGGGGCCACUGCUGGACCAACAAGUUUAGUUGCAGAAACGAGGGAAGUCACACUUCUGUGGAAGAAAUCUCUGGUUGUUCCCAAAUAUUCAUUUUUCUCUCCUCUGUGGCAAUAGAAUUUUUAGCUGGACACAUAGCAGCCCAAAAUAAAGAAAACACCUUCCUAGCCUCCCUUGCAGUUAGAUGGGGCCAUAUGACUAAGUUGUGCCAAAGGGAUGCCACAUGGGAUGUGAGCAAAAUGUAUACAAGUUACAAAUCAGGGCUAUGGAAAGGAGCAUGCCCUCCUCUUCCACUUCACCCUUCCCACUGGCUGGAAUGCAGACCUGGUGGUAAGGCACCUUAAACCACUGAAUAAGGCCAAAUCCCAGGAUGCCAGAGCAAUAAGGUAGAAGGGACCUGGGUUCCUGUACCAGGGAGCAGCUGCACCAAUCCUGUUAUAGGAGAGAGACGUACAUUUCUAGUUUGUAAAAGCCACUGUUGUUUUGGAGUUUGUUAUAGCAUUACUGCAGUUGAAGCUGUAUCUUAACUACAGAGUCUUAGUGCAGUUUCCACCCAGGGAAUGUGUUCACCACAGCCAUCCCACUUCACGGCAAGGCUCAACCCCCCAGAAAGCUUCCUCCAUGCCCUCCCACCCAUCAGAGCAGAGUCUGUGCUUACUGGGUCCUUGUACUUAGAGCCAGGACACCAGAAGCAGGAGUCACCUCCCACUGGCAUAGUCACUGGCAUUCUAGCACAUUCCACACUCAGAGUGGAUUUUUUAUAAAACCCUUUCCUCUAUUCAACAAAAUUAUUUUCAGUAAUAACCAUGGAAUGAAACAAAUAUUAAUAAUGGCCAGAAAUUAAACACAAACAGUGGAAGUGUUCUUUUAUUGAACCUCAUAUAUAUAAUCAUUCCAAUAAAAGAUUAAAAAAAUACUUUAGGUAAAUAAUUGUCUAGUAAUUAAUAAGUGAAUUUUAAUAAAACUCAAACAUUUGCAAAUGGCACAAUUU
rnacentral:lncRNA from 1 species